AGAAUCAACGCUGGCGGCGUGCCUCAGACAUGCAAGUCGAACGCGAAAGUCUCCUUCGGGGGACAAGUAGAGUGGCGCACGGGUGAGUAACACGUAGGUAAUCUACCUUCGGAUGGGGAAUAACAACCGGAAACGGUUGCUAAUACCGCAUAAUGCAGCGGCACCUAAUGGUGACAGUUGUUAAAGCGGGGGAUCGAAAGACCUCGCGUCUGAAGAGGAGCCUGCGGCGGAUUAGCUUGUUGGUAAGGUAACGGCUUACCAAGGCUACGAUCUGUAUCCGGUCUAAGAGGACGGUCGGACACACUGACACUGAAUAACGGGUCAGACUCCUACGGGAGGCAGCAGUCGGGAAUUUGGGCAAU
rnacentral:rRNA from 1 species